GACGAACGCUGGCGGCGUGCUUAACACAUGCAAGUCGAACGGAAAGGCCCUGCUUUUGUGGGGUGCUCGAGUGGCGAACGGGUGAGUAACACGUGAGUAACCUGCCCUUGACUUUGGGAUAACUUCAGGAAACUGGGGCUAAUACCGGAUAGGAGCUCCUGCUGCAUGGUGGGGGUUGGAAAGUUUCGGCGGUUGGGGAUGGACUCGCGGCUUAUCGGCUUGUUGGUGGGGUAGUGGCUUACCAAGGCUUUGACGGGUAGCCGGCCUGAGAGGGUGACCGGCUACAUUGGGACUGAGAUACGGCCCAGACUCCUACGGGAGGCAGCAGUGGGGAAUAUUGCACAAUGGGCGGAAGCCUGAUGCAGCAACGCCGCGUGCGGGAUGACGGCCUUCGGGUUGUAAACCGCUUUCGCCUGUGACGAAGCGUGAGUGACGGUAAUGGGUAAAGAAGCACCGGCUAACUACGUG
rnacentral:rRNA from 1 species